UUCCAAACGGAAGAGAAGAUAGACAUCAAACUUUUUUUAUACAUCUAUCCUACAAGCACGGACCAAUGGCUUCAUUCCCCUAACCCAACCUGGGGCAUAACAACAAUACAUCUCAACUCACCGGUUCCAACCAGGUGAAUAUCCUUGAAUCAGUUCUUGGCAACAUCUCAACUCUAUGAUGACCUAUAACAUCAGAAGAAAAGAAUGCAAGAUAUGAAAAUGUUCUCAACAAAGAAAGUAAUAAUAUUGAACAAAGGAAACCCAAAACAAGAUUACACACUUUAUGCAACAGCUCAAACAAACUGAGAAUAAGGUUUCCUGAGACCCUCAAGCCUAUAAACUUAGAUUAAGCCACACUAAAUUACUUCAUCAUAAAUUCAACUUUCAAGUUACCACAGCUAAUUGGGGUUUUUUGACAUUAAGCUUUAGAAAUAUGGUAAGCCAUUACACUUAAGAUAUACUAAACCAAAGAUGACAAAAUGACCUAAGAUUUGCCAAUUUUGUGAUUUACAGCUUCCGGUAAAUAAAAGAUUCAAGCUUCUUUUAGUAAUCAUAUUAACAAAUUAGUAACGCAUUUCGAAAUAAUAUUACCUAGAUACAGGGCAAAAUCACCAACACAAAACCAUCUUCGUUCACAUUUUAAAACCUAAAAUCAAUGAUGAAGCUAAAACCCUAACAAUCGAGAAACCCACAUAGAUAAACGACCAACAUUAAAGCAUCGAACUAGAAAACCCAACAAAAUUGAGAUCAGAACCAACAAAAUUGAGAUCAGAAAACUUUACCAUUUCCAAGGAAUCUAUAGGAGCUUGGAAGAAGUGAAGCCAUGGGCGAAACUGUACAGAGAGAUCUGGUAUCGACAACUAGAAGAUAGUCUCUUAAACCCUAAGAGAGAGAGAGAUUUAGAGAGCUUAAUAAGAUGGAGAAAGCGAAAGCGCACAGAUAUCGAUGGAAGAGUGAAAGAGAAAGAGAGAGAUUUGUUGCCGUUACGCGAGUCCAAGGUCUCUCUUCGUUUUUGUCGCUGUUUUAUUCCUAAUAAAAAAAUAGAAAAACCCCGCGA
rnacentral:lncRNA from 1 species